rnacentral:rRNA from 1 species
AUGGCAGGUGCUGCCAAGCCAGGGCAGCAACCUCCCAAGCAGGCGACGCGUGGGAUCCAGCAGCAGCAAGUAGCCGAUGCAACAGUCCCAGCUCCACCUCCUCCUCCUGCUGCUACAGUCCAAGCACUGGAUCCAAGGUACAAGGACAUUACCUGCUUUAACUAUAGUUGGCCAGGGCACUAUGUGGGGAACUGCAUUGAGCCGAAGAAAUGUUUUAUCUGCGCGGGAGGUCAUAAUGUCAACAACUGCGCUGCCUGGGCAAAGCCACACCCUACAGCGACAUACUUUGGUAGCGCAGCGGCUGGCCUGGGUUUUUACCAUAUUGAUGUUCCUACUACGUCAGAGCUAAGUUGGCUUAACUACAAGAAUUGUGCAGUUCUCAAAGUGGUUAAGGGUGAGGUUUCUGCCUCGGAGUUGCUGAUUCAGCUCAAUGGGAUUUUUUGCAAGAAUAAAGAGUGUCCUUGGCAGAUUAGGGACUUGGGAGAGAAGAAAUUCUUGCCGAGAUUUCCACCUUGGAAGAAUGUUGAAGACCUGAUUGAGUUUCCUGCAUUUGAGCUCCCAAUUGAUGGUGUUUCUGUCAAGAUCUGUGAAUGGGUGGGAAUGUUAGAUGAAUUUGGAGGACUUACUGAGGCCUGGGUUCAAAUUGAGGGGAUUCCUCCCAAGUGA